rnacentral:rRNA from 1 species
CAGUCGCCGCGGGAAUACGAAGGGCGCAAGCGUUAAUCGGAAUUACUGGGCGUAAAGCGUGCGUAGGCGGUUUGUUAAGUCUGUUGUGAAAUCCCCGGGCUCAACCUGGGAAUGGCAAUGGAUACUGGCAAGCUAGAGUGUGUCAGAGGAUGGUGGAAUUCCCGGUGUAGCGGUGAAAUGCGUAGAGAUCUGGAGGAACAUCAGUGGCGAAGGCGGCCAUCUGGGACAACACUGUCGCUGAGGCACGAAAGCGUGGGGAGCAAACAGGAUUAGAUACCCGCGUAGUCCCUGUCUCUUAUAC